ACAGUGUAACGGUCAAAUUUGUAGUGGUCUGAUUCCAGUGGUGUUGACGCUUCGUGCUUGCAUCUCAAUGAGCCUGGACGAUCGUGUGACGCAACGCUAAUUACAUUGUUUAAUAAUAAGACUGGUUAAUUUGGCCCUUUGUCUUUAGAAUGACGAGCACGAGCACCUCAAGUCAAUAGUUAAACAGUAAAGUUUCUUAUAAGUAUAGUAAAAGUUUAGUCUUUACGGACAUGAUGGGCCUAUAAUACGUCAAUCUCAUUAAUCAGUACUCAAUCUCAGUACUUCAACUUGAUACGAUGCAUUUGAAUUGAAUUCAACUAUAGUAGUAUUACAGAAUGGAUCGACUGUUUAGAUAGAUUAUAGAAAGAUUCUACUGUAAACCCGUUGUAACUUUAGAUGUAAUGUCAUAGAUAGCUGUACAGUGUUGUUAGAAAGAAUACAUCGUUGAAUCAGUU